UACGAAGGGGGCGAGCGUUGUUCGGAUUUACUGGGCGUAAAGGGCGCGCAGGCGGCAGAUCAAGUCAGACGUGAAAGCCCCGGGCUUAACCUGGGAACUGCGUUUGGGACUGGUUGCUAGAGAUCGGGAGAGGAGAGUGGAAUUCCCAGUGUAGAGGUGAAAUUCGUAGAUAUUGGGAAGAACACCGGUGGCGAAGGCGGCUCUCUGGACCGAUACUGACGCGUGAGGCGCGAAAGCG
rnacentral:rRNA from 1 species